ACCUGGUUAGUUAAGUUGGUAAAGCGCUCCACUGGAAAUGGAAAGGCCCCUGGUUCGGUUGCAGGACCAUGCG
rfam:Ixodes scapularis strain Wikel colony gcontig_1108378797236, whole genome shotgun sequence.